rnacentral:rRNA from 1 species
UACGUAGGAGGCGAGCGUUGUCCGGAAUUACUGGGCGUAAAGAGCGCGUAGGCGGCACGGUACGACCGGUGUGAAAGCCCCCGGCUCAACUGGGGAGGGUCACCAGUAACGGCCGAGCUAUGAGUGCAGGAGAGGGAAGUGGAACUCCGGGAGUAGCGGUGAAAUGCGUAGAGACCCGGAGGAACACCAGUGGCGAAGGCGGCUUCCUGGUCUGCAACUGACGCUGUGGCGCGAAAGCUAGGGGAGCAAACGGG